rnacentral:rRNA from 1 species
AACGAACGCUGGCGGCAGGCUUAACACAUGCAAGUCGAGCGCCCCGCAAGGGGAGCGGCAGACGGGUGAGUAACACGUGGGAACCUUCCUAGAGGUACGGAACAACUCAGGGAAACUUGAGCUAAUACCGUAUACGCUCUUGCGUGGAAAGAUUUAUCGCCUUUAGACGGGCCCGCGUCGGAUUAGCUAGUUGGUGGGUA